AAUAAAACAGCAAUGCACAGUGGUGAUAAUGUUUGCGAAAUGUCUCCCACGUGAACAGUUUAGCGGGGAGAGAGAGAGAGAGAGAAGAGGGAGGGUGAUUAAAGAGGGGGGGAUGAGGAGGGGAAGUGGGUGAGGGGGAGAGAGGGAGCACUGGGAGGGAGGGGAGAAGGGGUAUCGGAAGGGGUAAGGAAGGGGUGAAGGAAGGGGGUAAGUAGGGGAAGGAGGAAGGGGGAAGGGUAGAGAGGAGGAAAUGGGAGGGGGUAAGGGAGGAAAUGAAGGGGAGGGGGAGGAGGAAGGGGGGUACCACACUAUCUUCCCUUCACUAAUAAUAAUAAUAAUAAUAAUAAUAAUAAUAAUAAUAAUAAUAAUAUACUAAUUUCUACAUACGAUAGGUAGGUUAUUUUUUAGAGUCCAGUAACACCAAUCAAUGAAAUUUUUAGUGUUUUCUAAAGAUACCGUUUUGUUAAGUGUAAUUCUAAGUAAAUUUAAACUACUACUAAACGAAGCUUUCUCCUAACGUGUCUAGGCUUUUCGUUGAAUACGUCCAAUAUCACUAACAUUACAUUACAUAAAACUAUACUUUUACUUUAACCUAUCAUCUUUUUAUUUUUUAUUUGUUUUUUCAUUAUCACCACUCUUUCAUCCCUUACACUGGUACACUCUGCAACAGCCUUCCUUCGUCUGUAUUUCCUCCUGCCUAUGACUUGACUUUCUCUCCACCCGAAAUUGACCUCUCUUCUGGCCACUCUUUAUUUUUGUCCAUUAUGGGAGCGGUGAGUAGCGGGCUUUUUUCUCUACACUCUUUUUGUUGCCCUUGAGCCGUCUCCUUUGCUGUAACAAAUAAAAAUAAAAAAUUGCUAGGUUUCCCUUUCAGUAUUUUCAGAAUUAAUAAUAGAAUGACUAGACUUUUCGUUAAGUAAGUCCAAUUAUCGCGCAUUAUUAAACUACAUAAAACUAUACCUUUCUCAACCUAUAAUGAUUUUUUGCAUAAUCACGACUAUGCUAGGCUAUAAUCAUUAGUAAGAUAUGACGGCACGAUGAACUGGGUUUGUUAUAAUUCUUUUCUUCUGCAUCAUCAUCACGGUCAGACCAUUCUUCUGGUAUGUUCAGUAUAAUGAUUAAGGUAUAAUGAUAUAACGAACUAUAAUGAUCUAUAUAACUUUUUUUCCUCAUUUUCCUUUCUUCCUUCCUUCGUUUCUAUUCCCAUUCUUUCGGUAUGUUCAGUAUAAUGAUUAAAAGGUAUAGCGAUAUAACGAACUAAUGAUUCAUAUAACUUUUUUUUCUACCUUUGUUUCACCUUCAUUUUCCUUUCUUCCUUCCUUCGUUUCUUUUCCACAAAUUUCCCUUCUAAUUUCUUUCUGACAGUCCUAUAAUUUUACCUCUGUCUUUUUUCCCUGAAGUAUAAUUAUCAAACUAGGCUUUUAAUUUCAAUAUUUUCAGGAUUAUCAAAACAUGUCGGUAUGGCGAGCUAGGCUGAACUUCAGUAAAUAAUUAUGUAUGUUCUGUACGUUAUGUGAGUAUGUCCAAUGCCACAAAGAAACGAAAAAAAAAAUAACUAGCAUUCUGAAGCCAAGAAUACUACUUUUUAUCGACGCCCAGCCCACCCCGCUGCUUGAUCUUUAUUUAUAUGAGUUUUUUUUAAUGUGUUAGUUAUCUUCAUUAUUAAUCUCCUAAGCACGCCGAAACAUUACCACAAAUCUAAGGUUGAAAGUUAAAAGGAAUAUGCUAGAUUCAGAACAUCAACAGGUGGAAAAGGUUAGCAAUGAAUUUAUGGUGACCAUCUCGCGCGUGAUUAACCCGGUAGCAGCGACGGGCCAAAUUUGUGCCAUGAUAUAAACCCCCCAAAAUUGAUGAUGCAUAAACUGAUCACAAAUGCCUUGAUAUAUAUUAUGAAAUGUUUUGUGUGAGUGAUGAUUUUUUCUAAUUUUUCUCGCUUAGAGGUACCAUUAAGAAACAUGAUUCCCGCUGCUACCAGGUUAAGACAGGCAUAACUUGAAAAGCGGCAUAACUCGAAAAGUAGACAUUUGCGACGGAAAUGAGGUACAAAAUCGUGGAAUUCACUACAUCUAUCACCAGAAACACAUAAACCACGUGAGAAAAUCGUUGGUUGGGUGAAACUGUAAAUUGUCCGUUACGUUAAGUUAGGUUAGGUUAGGUUACGUUUGAUCAGGUUAGGUUAGGUUAGGUUACGUUAAGUUAGGUUAGGUUAGGUAAGGUUUGAUCAGGUUAGGUCAAGUUAGGCCACGUUAGAUUUAUUAAGUCUGUUUACGAUAAAUACGUGUGACACGCUUCGGGCUGUGCCAAAGUAGGCUAAACGUGACCUAUUCCCCGGAGAAACACGUACUUUAUAAUCAACUCUUAAAAUCAAGCCAAGGACACACUGAUCAGAAUAAGAAGCAAUGCAAAGAACAGAAAUAUGGAUUGACAAUAGGCUACACUUGACCUAUUCCCCGGAGAAACACGUAUUUUCUAAUCAACUCUUAAAAUCAAGCCAAGGACACACUGACCAGAAUAAGAAGCAAUGCAAAGAACAGAAAUAUGGAUUGACAAAUUUACAAGAAUACGCAAGAUUUAAACAUUAUCUUAAAUCACGGUAAAUGGUGAAACACGUACUUUUCAAUCAACUCUUAAAAUCAAGCCAAGGACACACCGACCAGAACAAAAAGCGAUGCAAAGAACAGAAAUAUGGAUUGACAAAUUUACAAGAAUACGUUAGAUUUGAACAUUAUCUUAAAUCACGGUAUAUGGAGAAACACGUGCAGCCUUGCUAACAUGAAUCAACCCAAGGCCACACAAAACAAAGCAAUAAGCAACACAGACAACACCUACCAGACAGCAACACUUCAUAACACACCAAACACUCAUUUUUUCCCCUCAAACCAAUUCGGCGGAAAACUCGAACCCCCCAGCUGCCAACCUCCCCUUCGCAUUUUCCUCCAUUACUCGGCUAUUACACAUCACCACCAACUUCCCAAUUGUUUUCUUGACCUUACAGACGACUGCCAUCACUGACCUUUAUUCCGUAGGUCCAAACUCCGUGAGAAUGAUCCAACACACGGCAGGAGGCACUGACUGACAUACAUACUCUCACUGCACUGAGCUUAUCGUAACAUUGGCUGACGCAGUGUUGCCACCUUGAAACAUUAUCAGUACCGCUAGGUACAAAGGCAACGUGCUGCGCUCUGCACAUUCUUUUUUUUUUCAGUUAGCCAAUUUUUCAAGUCUGGACCACUGAGCCACUCUUCUCUAAACUUUUGAGUGCAUUGUGGCUAAGGAAUAAUGAAUAGUUUCACUAAAUGACGAAUAUCAAGCAAAUGAAAAUGAUGAGUGUAAGCACAGAGGGCGGUAAACUGAAGUGUAGGCCUACUGAGUAUGAACUUAGGAAGGCGACUAGGCAAAGGUGAAUACUCAUGACGCGUCUUGUACAAGUCAAAACACAGAAAGAAGGGACGAGGGAGGGAAGGGGCAGUAUUGCCAAGUGCCGGUCUAUUAUUUUCUGCAUUUUUGCCAGUAAAAUAUCUUGAGAUUAAAUAAAAUAUUUGUAUAUAUAU